GACGAACGCUGGCGGCGUGCUUAACACAUGCAAGUCGAACGGUAAGGCCCUUCGGGGUACACGAGUGGCGAACGGGUGAGUAACACGUGGGUGAUCUGCCCUGCACUUCGGGAUAAGCCUGGGAAACUGGGUCUACUACCGGAUAGGACCACUGCCUGCAUGGGUGGUGGGGGAAAGCUUUUGCGGUGUGGGAUGGGCCCGCGGCCUAUCAGCUUGUUGGUGGGGUGAUGGCCUACCAAGGCGACGACGGGUAGCCGGCCUGAGAGGGUGACCGGCCACACUGGGACUGAGAUACGGCCCAGACUCCUACGGGAGGCAGCAGUGGGGAAUAUUGCACAAUGGGCGCAAGCCUGAUGCAGCGACGCCGCGUGAGGGAUGACGGCCUUCGGGUUGUAAACCUCUUUCAGCACCGACGAAGCGCAAGUGACGGUAGGUGCAGAAGAAGGACCGGCCGACUACGUGCCAGCCGCCGCCGUAA
rnacentral:rRNA from 1 species